UCAGCCAAGGAUGACUUGCCG
rnacentral:miRNA from 2 species